rnacentral:tRNA from 1 species
GCAGAUGGUAAAGCAUCUGCCUACAAUGCAGGAGACCCAGGUUCGAUCCCUGG